GGGGGGGGGGGGGGGGGGGGGGGGGGGGGGGGGGGGGGGGGGGGGGGGCCUGCGUGGGGGGGGUGCUGGGGGGGCGAACGGGUGGGUAACACGUGCGUGACCGGCCCUGGACUUUGUGAUGACUUCAGGACACUGGGCCUAAUACCUGAUGGGAUCUCCUGCUUCAUUGUGGGGGUUGCAGCGUUUCGGCGGGUGGGGAUGGACUCGCGGCUUAUCAGCUGUUUGGUGGGGUAGUGGCUUACCAAGGCUUUGACGGGUAUCUGGCCGGAGAGGGUGACCGGCCACAUUGGGACUGAGAUACGGCCAAGACUCCUACGGGAGGCAGGAGUGGGGAAUAUUGCACAAUGGGCGGAAGCCUGAUGCAGCAACGCCGCGUGCGGGAUGACGGCCUUCGGGUUGUAAACCGCUUUCGCCUGUGACGAAGCGUGAGUGACGGUAAUGGGUAAAGAAGCACCGGCUAACUAAGUG
rnacentral:rRNA from 1 species